ACAGUUGUAAAAUAAAUGGUCGAUGAGAAGACCAGUUCGAAUGUAGAAAAUAAGGAAAGCAAAAUAUCGAUAAGAAAAACAUAAACACCCCUAAACCGUAAACGCAAAAUAUCAUUGCGAUCGUAUCUGUGACGUGCUGAGCCGCAACGUCAACAAAGAUCCGGUCAGGAGAAAAUUGUCUGAAAAGUACCUCCUUCGCAAGCAGAAGCACUUGCGCUACCCGUGCAGCUUUGUAUUUUCCCGGACAGCAGUGUGAAGUGCAGAUCUAAAUUUGCAGAACACGACAAGGGCAGGCUCAGCCAUCGUAACACCAGGAUAACUCGUUCUUAUCAGCAGAACCGCUUUAAUUCUGCUAAGUGCAUCGUUGGAACAUCGCGCACGGAAUUAUAACCCCAAAGCGAUCAGGUGCGGCCUGGUGACGAUUGGCAGAUAUUCGCCUCAUUGCCUCCGUAGAGCGCAUCGCGUAAAAAACCGGCACUAGUGCCUCGCUACAACCAAAAUCACCACCAUAGCCCGCCGCACACCACAACCCGAUUCUGAUCUAUACGAUCAAGAGUAAGUGGAGAACAGUGGAAUUUAGAUGUGUUAUUAAUCGCCAACGCUUUGUCCGAACGAGAUCUUACUCAACGAGAGGGUGCAUUUCGGAAAAAGGCCCCGCCACAGGGGCUUUAUUUAGCAUCCUCAGAUUGCGAUUUCACCGUCGCGGGUUCAGAGUGGGCGACACUUAGGCCGUGUCAUCGAUUGCCUGGCGAUACACCGGGUGCUACGGACGGGGAGCCACAAAACCGAAAAUUCGAUCUCGAAGCGUCAGAGGAUACGGUGAACGUUGCCACGAACACCGGCGAGCAGCAAACCAACCAUUGUUAGUGGUCGAAGUAAACGCAGGACAAUCGAUCUCACAUCGAGGAGCGGCAGUCGUCGUCGCUAUAGAGUAGGGUACCAGCGUCGCGAAUCAGCAUGUUCGUUCGGGAGUACAUCGGCCAGCACGUCACUAGCGUCCCGCUGCUCAGGGGGAGAGGCAUAUCCCAGUAGCGGCGCACUUAAAUUCGGUGAGCAAACCAGUUGCAUUUGUUAAGUUCUAAACACUAGAUUAAGUCUAACCAGAGUAGGGACAGCUAGGCUCUGUUUAAUGAGCAAUAAAU